UUUUCAGGUAUUUUCUUUGAUUUUAUGAUCAUUUUCAGAGUUUAAAUUGAAAUAUUUAAAUAAAGAUUUAUUUCAUUCAAACUAUAAAUUAAAGUAUGUGUUUUGUUAUUUUAUCAUUUAUGAAGUCUUACAGGUAAAGUAUUUAGUUAUCUUUUGGGUUUACCUGUAGAUUUGUAGCUAUUUAUAGAUCUGGUUAGAUAGUGGUCAUUCUGGAUUGGUCAGGUGAUUUUAGGAGGGAAUUCUAUUCUUGUUUUUCAUGCCCAAGCGUUCUGAUGGGUGUGUAUGUUCUGAGACAUUUUUAGAAGUUUUGGUUUGAUCAGUACUUGAUAUUCCUAGUUUGAAAUAAGUAUGGACUGAGAUUAUUCCUUUACCAGAACACGUACCAUAUUAUUGAGACAGCUGAGUUUUGUAUAUAUACUGUAGCAGACCUUUGCACCUCAUGGGAGGGUCAUCUAUCUUUACCAUACAUCUAUAAUGGGCAAGAUUGCACCAUCACAAUAAACCCACGUAUUUAACCAGAUGGAAUGUGUUUUGUUGUGUAUUUCCACCCG